UACGUAGGGUGCAAGCGUUACUCGGAAUUACUGGGCGUAAAGCGUGCGCAGGCGGUUUUGUAAGUCAGAUGUGAAAUCCCCGGGCUUAACCUGGGAACUGCGUUUGAAACUACAAGGCUAGAGUGUGGCAGAGGGGGGUGGAAUUCCACGUGUAGCAGUGAAAUGCGUAGAGAUGUGGAGGAACACCGAUGGCGAAGGCAGCAUCCUGGGUUAACACUGACGCUAAGGAACGAAAGCGUGGGGAGCAAACAGG
rnacentral:rRNA from 1 species